UCGGCAAUGGGCGAAAGCCUGACCGAGCGACGCCGCGUGCGGGAUGAAGGCCUUCGGGUUGUAAACCGCUGUCGUAGAGGAGGAAGUGCAAGAGGGUUCUCCCUUUUGUUUGACCUAUUCUAGGAGGAAGUACGGGCUAAGUUCGUGCCAGCAGCCGCGGUAAGACGAACCGUACGAACGUUAUUCGGAAUUACUGGGCUUAAAGGGUGCGUAGGCGGUGCGGUAAGUUGGGUGUGAAAGCCCUCAGCUCAACUGAGGAAUUGCACUCAAAACUACCGUGCUAGAGGGAGACAGAGGUAAACGGAACUCAAGGUGGAGCGGUGAAAUGCGUUGAUAUCUUGAGGAACACCGGUGGCGAAGGCGGCUUACUGGGUCUUUUCUGACGCUGAGGCACGAAAGCCAAGGUAGCAAACGGGAUUAGAUACCCCGGUAGUCUUGGCUGUAAACGAUGAGCACUUGAUUGAAGGGUCCUCCAUAGCCUUUCAGUCGUAGCGAAAGUGUUAAGUGCUCCGCCUGGGGAGUAUGGUCGCAAGGCUGAAACUCAAAGAA
rnacentral:rRNA from 1 species